GCUUUGGAAGUUUUGGUAGAAAUGAAAAAACAAGGUAUACCUUUCAACAAAGAAACCUAUCUACUUGCAGUUGCAAUAUGCUAUAAAUUGGGCAACCUGGAGUCUUCCAAAACUUUUGUGAGACUGCUUGAAGAAGCACAGCUUAAAGGGGACACGUCACUGAGAGCAUACUGCUUUACAAUGGCAACUGCUCUCAAGCAGAACAAUAUAGCACAAGCCAAGUUUUAUUGAUCCCAGAUAAUGAGAACAGAGAACAAACUAUACAGUAAUCUCAAAACUAUUUCUUGCCUACUGGAACCAAGUUAAUACUUUCCAUGUCCAUCAUCUAAUGGAAUAUUUACAUAGUUAACCACUUUUUCUUUAAAAACCCUUUUCUAGGGGUUGGAGUGUCCAUGGUGUUUUUCCCAAGGGUAUUUGUCUGAUGAACUUUUUCCAGAUCCUGAUGACAUAUCUAGAAAUAGCCAGAUCAAGAAAAGGCUUUUCACACUGCCAAAAUAGCUGCAAUAAGAAGCAAUAUUCCAGUAUGGCUCUGAUUAUUCCUGUGUGAGAGUACGUUACAAGGCUUAUAAAUAAUAUUGGUCUUUCUGUGCUGUCUCUUCUCUUUCACCCAGGUUUGGAUGUCCAAACAACAAACUGCUUUCUCUCCCAAUCUGAGCAGUCAGAUGUU
rnacentral:lncRNA from 1 species